rnacentral:rRNA from 1 species
UGCAGUCGAGCGGUAGAGAGAAGCUUGCUUCUCUUGAGAGCGGCGGACGGGUGAGUAAUGCCUAGGAAUCUGCCUGGUAGUGGGGGAUAACGUUCGGAAACGGACGCUAAUACCGCAUACGUCCUACGGGAGAAAGCAGGGGACCUUCGGGCCUUGCGCUAUCAGAUGAGCCUAGGUCGGAUUAGCUAGUUGGUGGGGUAAUGGCUCACCAAGGCGACGAUCCGUAACUGGUCUGAGAGGAUGAUCAGUCACACUGGAACUGAGACACGGUCCAGACUCCUACGGGAGGCAGCAGUGGGGAAUAUUGGACAAUGGGCGAAAGCCUGAUCCAGCCAUGCCGCGUGUGUGAAGAAGGUCUUCGGAUUGUAAAGCACUUUAAGUUGGGAGGAAGGGCAGUUACCUAAUACGUGAUUGUUUUGACGUUACCGACAGAAUAAGCACCGGCUAACUCUGUGCCAGCAGCCGCGGUAAUACAGAGGGUGCAAGCGUUAAUCGGAAUUACUGGGCGUAAAGCGCGCGUAGGUGGUUUGUUAAGUUGGAUGUGAAAUCCCCGGGCUCAACCUGGGAACUGCAUUCAAAACUGACUGACUAGAGUAUGGUAGAGGGUGGUGGAAUUUCCUGUGUAGCGGUGAAAUGCGUAGAUAUAGGAAGGAACACCAGUGGCGAAGGCGACCACCUGGACUAAUACUGACACUGAGGUGCGAAAGCGUGGGGAGCAAACAGGAUUAGAUACCCUGGUAGUCCACGCCGUAAACGAUGUCAACUAGCCGUUGGAAGCCUUGAGCUUUUAGUGGCGCAGCUAACGCAUUAAGUUGACCGCCUGGGGAGUACGGCCGCAAGGUUAAAACUCAAAUGAAU